GGGGAUAUGGUGUAACCGGUAGCACGAGAGUCUCCAAAACUCUUAGUCUAGGUUCGAGUCCUAGUAUCCCCG
rnacentral:tRNA from 1 species